GCCAUGAGGUGAGAAGGAUGAUGACAAAAGCCAACACACUAGGAAUGAUGGAGUAAAAUGGCGCCAAGAGUCUGGAUGCUUGGUCUUUUCACUAGGCUGCUCUGUUAACCCCAGACACCCUUACCUGUUUAAGCCUCUGUUACUGGCAACAAACAAGCGCCCACUAGACUACUGAAAUGACCUGUUCUCUUGCAGUCCAGAAACCGGCACCAUGGGAAGGUGGAUUAGACACAGGGUGAGGGGCCAUGAAGCAGAAGAAACAAAGAGUGCCGGGGCACCAUUCUUUCUCUGGCAAACGGUGGCUACAGUGGGCAUGCAUUGUCUAUGGCAUGUAUUGGACCCUUCUUAAAGUCUGGUGAGAGAAACAGGAAUAGCCAUGAACACAGUUUACAAAAUAGCUCCCCUUAAAGUCCUAACCUUGAGAAAUUUAAGAAAGACCGAAAUUCUCAGCAUUAUCAAAUGACCUGCCACGAGAAGGACCUCUGAAUACAGGCCAGCAAGAGAGAGAUGCGGGAAGGUAUAGUGUGUAAAAGAGAAUUAGGGCAUAACAAAAGCCAGGCUCUAAAUACUAAAUAGAGCCCGGGAAGAGAGAUUUCUUCAACGGCUCCCGGCCUAGAGCUGAUCAGUUCUGUAUCAGAAUACGUCAUUUGUUCCUCCACAGAGGCACUGAAGAGAGGCUCCACUAGCUGAAAACUCAUCACGGUGCUCAGGACAGAGGAUGUAAAGUAAACAAUUGGAGAGCAUGCAGCUUUGCCAGACACGAGAGAUGAACUUUUUCCAUCUACAACAUACAGAAGAGGAAGCUGAGACUCCGAGAAGUUUCAUCCCACUCAAAGUCAGCAAAGGGAGGAGGAAGCCGUGCCACAGCCCAACCACAGGGCUCUUUCUAUACCCACAAGUUCGUCAGCUUUAAAUUCUAAUGGAAAUGAUUCUACUGGGCCUGACUGAUUGACCCAAUAUUGCUGGAUUCCACAUAUCCACGUGAUGCUGUCCCCUCUGUAUGAGGAUUUAAGUGUGGAAAAUUGUAAUGGAUGCCACAAGAAGAAAAAAAAUGGAAAUGGGAAAGAAUAAGUCAAAGUUCCAACAUUUACUCCCAGACUUCAUCAUGAAGUAAUAAAAUUCUCUCUGCCAAGAAAAAUCUCUCUCAUCCUUUAAGGCUUGGCUUAAGAGUUACGUUGUCAGUCCUUCCUCCAGUCUCCCCUCUGCAUCGAGGGACCACAUUCCUCCACCUCUGCGCUUUCU
rnacentral:lncRNA from 1 species